CUGAAAAACACUGGGAGGGUUUUGUUGCUAUCAGUUACCAAAGUAUUUCUGUAGCAUGAAAUUGAAGGCAUGUGCUACACAUAUGGAUGUGGCUUUGAGGCAUACAGGAAGCAAAGCUCAGAGCAAGUAGGAACUCGGGAUACCCUGUCACAAAUACAUGUGGUGAAGUCCAGAUAUCAAGUUUCCUUGGACAAUGAACAAUUUUAAUUCAUCUUUCCAAUGGACAUAGAAGAACAGAAAAGAACACAGUACAGCUCCAGUGAACCUCAUCAUUUCUGAGCACCCAGAGUAUUCAGCACAUCAGAAAGAAUAUCACUACAGAACUGUCUACGCUGUCAGCAGUACAAGUUACAGAAUGAAUUACUACUGAAUCUCAAUUUAGGGAUCAGGAGAGGAUGUGCUGAGUAAGUGAAAACACAGAAGCAAAGCGACAUGCCAUGGCUUUGUGGAUAUGUGGAUACAAGCAAUUACAGCUUAAUAGAUGUGGGUAAGCUGGUGAACAGAUAGAGGUUCUGCACUUCUUCAUGGUUUGCCCAAAGAUCAACAUUCUAAAUAUACCUUAUCUAAGACAACAAAUAAUGAAAUUGUCAAGUGAACUUGAACAUCAGAAUAAAUUUGAGAAAUCUCCUUAUAUCAAAAAGAAGCUUCAGAAAAAAAAUAGCAAGACAAGUUGUAGUUAAGUGCUGAAGAAUGAAAGGAUUGCUUUCCAGCAUUUUUAUUCCAGCUUCAGCAUAUUUUAUUUUAUAUAUAUAUAAAUAUAUAUACACACAUAAUUACAUACAUAUAUACACACACACACAUAUAUCUAUGCAGUGUUUUUCCCUCAAGGAAUAAGCCAUCUUAUUUAUGUCAUAGCUGAGAGGUGUGAAUUUCCUUCGCGCUUUAUCCAGCUUCAUAGAUGAAUCCCUGUUGGCAGAUCACACUGCACAGAAGACUGGUGAGUGACAGAGGCCACUGAUUACUAAUGGCCACAUCAGGAGGAAUUGCACUGUGAGGGAAGAUACCCACUUCCUCCUCAUCCCUAAUUUUGGGGUCUUGUUUCUAGAGAGUCCAUUGGAAGGAUUCACAUGGGGGACAGAGAAAUAAAAUACUAUCCACGUUCAUAAAAAGGUGUUUUCCUAAGCAACCACACUUCCCUCCCCCUCUAAACUCAAGGAGUGAGAAUAAAGCCUCCUGACAGGCUAUUCUCUUACUGUGCCAUGUUUCAAAGCCUUAUAAGGAGAAGAAACUGUGGCAUAAUUAAUACAUUGGAUAGCUGAAGACAUUACUGAAUCGUUAAACUGCAGCAUUUAACUGCAGUUAAAGUAUUCUUGGCCCCUAGGUCUUUACCAUUGUAUAAUCAUGAUCAGCUGUUUUAGAUAAACUAUGGAGAAAGUAAGAUAAAUCUUCCCAAAAUUUACAGUGAAGAAUAAAAUUCAGCAUAUAGCUUUCCCCUGCUCAUGGAAUUGAAUCAAUCAAUACUGCAUUAUGCUAUUGCUGGAGUGCAUAGUAGCAAUCACUGUUUGACAGUAAGGGUAUUUUGCACAGCAGUGAAGGUUAUCUAUAUAAUUUGUUUUAAACCUUUGGGUUCCCUAUGUUAGUCCUUUGGGAGAACUGCAGGAAACCUUGCUCUGUACAUUUUCUGUUUGCUGAAAAUUGUAACAUAGUCAUCAGAAAAAGAAAAAGAGAGAAAGAGAGAAAGAGAGAAAGAGAGAAAGAGAGAAAGAAAGAAAGAAAGAAAGAAAGAAAGAAAGAAAGAAAGAAAGAAAGAAAGAAAGAAAGAAAGAAAGAAAGAAGGAAAGAAAGAAAGAAAGAAAGAAAGAAAGAAAGAAAGAAAGAAAGAAAGAAAGAAAGAAAAAGAAAAAAAAAUCAAAAGGAUAACAAAGCUUUGCUAAUAGGAAUGAUCCAUACACCCAGACAGAUGCGUUUUCCUGUGGACAGUGGAAAGAAUGCAGAUGUAAUUGGAACCCAUUGGAACCCAUUUUUGCCCAGGAGAUCUCAGAUGGAAGUCUGGAAGUCCUGACUGAAAAAAAUGAAGUGGAAUUCAGAGCAAUUUUUUGCCACUUCUUUCCAAUUCAGUUUUCAGCACGACUACAAAGGGACUUCUUGCUUCAGGCCAGGCUGGAUGAUUUGUGAAGCCACGGAAGUAAAAAUAAAGUAAAGCUGUCCUUCAAGAAACUGAAUAAACUGUUUUGGUUGAGUGUGUGGUUUUCUAAAUACAUGCAGAAAGAUGUAUACCCCAAACAUGUAUUUAGCAGAAUGGAUUUUGUUAAUGUCAAUAGCUAAAUACCAUAUUGGUUUGUUUUAUCAGCAUGCACAAUACUUACUUUUUAAAUGAUUCCAUCACUGUAUGUGGUUUAUGUAAAGCAAGUAAACUGAGAUUUCAUGUAAUUACAGUAAUUAAAAAGAGAGGUGGACAGGGCAGACUAUUUGUUAUACCAUGUAUGAUAAGAAGAUAGAGGCACCAUUCAAAGAGUUAUGACUUGUUAGUGAGUAGUAGACUCUUGAAAUUGUCAAGAAGUGUUGUUUGAAAAAAACAAAUGAAGAGAAGCAGAUAAAAUCAUCUAUUAUUAACUAAUGUAAGCAUAUGAAUUUCAGCGUGCAGCAUGCUUGCUACCGAUAGUCAUGGUGCAUUGUUACAGUGAAUUAAUAACAUUGUCACAAUGGAUAAUAUCACAUUUUCUGGCUAUACAAGUGAAAGGAAAACUAUCAGAAUUUCACAAUAACAGAGAAGCUUUGAAAUUAAAAUAAUAAUAAUAAAAGCCUACAAACUCACCACCAUUAAGUUACAUUCUUGAGUGGUGGGCAGUAUAACCUUGGCCUACUAUAGUAAAUGAAAGAGCACCAACCUGUUUGUAGGAGAUACGUGUUUUGCAUGCAUAUCUUAGUUGAUUUUAAUCUUUCUGAUUGAAUUUAGGGUGAAUAUUAAAAGCAAACUCAUAAUUUUUUGCACUUGAUAUUUCCAGUGGAAGGAGCACUGCCUAGUACAAUAUCUUCUAAUAAAAUAAAAUAAAAAUUCAUAAUUAUAAAUAAAAUAAAAAUUCAUAGUUGACUUCAGCUUCUCAACAGUGUCUAUGAAAUUUACUCCUAUUUGGUUUGUCUUUCUUCAUCACUGCCAAAAUAGAUCCUUUGUAUCUGUAUCUACAAUAAUGUACACCAUCUCCCUCAUAGGUACUGAACAUCCUAGACACCUCCAAAUCAAUCAUAAAUUAGUGAGGCAAAGUUAGUUAAUUUAAGUGAGUUUAAGCAAUGAUAACUUAAUGGAGGGACUUGUAAACCACAGCAGAAAUGUAAUGUUUAUGGAUUUUUUACAUAAAUGGAAGAAAAACAGGAUUUUUCAAUUUCUUCUGGGAAAAAAAAACAGCAACAACAACCAUGAAGUGAAAAUGAGAACAUGGGAAGGGAGCAGUGCAGUGCUGAUUUGUCCUCUCACAGCCACAGCACUUAUUUAGAUGCAUCAAGACUCACACGUAUUGCACAUUACAUGCGCUUCUGUCGCUUGCUGAGUAAAAUGCAGUGAUUGUCGAUAUUAGUAUUUCAACCUGUCUAAUGGCAAACCCCAAAAAAACCAAAACUCUGGAUGAAGGAAGAGUGUUAAACAAAAAAUGGUCAGAUUAGUAAUUUUUUUUUCAAGACAAAUAAUAUGGCACUCUGCUUAAUUUGCAAGGAAAUGAUGUCAGAUUUCAAACAAUACCAUUUGAAAAGAUAUUAAGUGCAGAAACAUGCUGACAAAUUCAAUGAAUAUCAAAGAAUGCCUCAUAAAGACAAAACAGUGGAACUGAAAACAAAGUCUAUCACCUCAACGCAAGCUUUUUUAAAAAGUUAAAUGGACUGUUGUAAAAGCUAGUGACAUGGUAACAAAUCUGAUGGCAAAAAAUCAAAACCAUUUACUGAUGGUGAGUUUAUUAAGCAGUGAAAGAAAAGC
ensembl:lncRNA